rfam:Cavia porcellus supercont2_20 genomic scaffold, whole genome shotgun sequence.
GGGGAUUUAGCUCAGCGGCAUAAGCGCCUGCCUUGCAAGCAGGCAGUCGUGAGUUCGAUCCCCGCUACCG